rnacentral:misc_RNA from 1 species
CCAAAUGAUUCCAUUCUCUCUGUGAC